UUUUGGCAAACCAAAGUGAUGCUGAAGCCAGACUUUCUUCUCCAUUCGCUUAGGAGAUCUCCAUGUUUGGAAGCUCUAGCCUUGCUUUUGUGGGCCUCUAAGUUAGUGGAGGAUGAGAAAGGUAUCCACUCCCUUCUAAUCAGUCUCAUGCCAUCCGUACCUAACAAGAGCAUGCCGAAGAGACCAAAUACGAGAUAAGACACAUAGGUCUCUAUCCAACAAGGGAUGAUAAAAGCCAAGCACUUCUUUUAGAUCUCCGGCAAGCUCCAAGUAACCACAAGGUGCCAAGAGAUAGGAGAGGUGUCUCCUACUUGAUAUUUUGACGAGUUGUUACACAAAAACAAGGGGAACAAGAACUAGAUGGAAACUUGCACGUAGCGAUCGAGAAGGGAUGUUGAAGCAUUUUAGGAAAGAGGUUAUGAUUUUUGAAAGAGAAAGAAUGAGAGAUCAAUUGGAAGUCUUUGGACGCAACAUUAUGGUAUCAUUUGUUGUAAGUUAGUGGAAAAGCGUUUGUUUUUAAUAAACAAUUUUU
rnacentral:lncRNA from 1 species